AUACUUACCUGGCAGGGGAGGUACCAUGUUCACGAAGGCAGAUUUUCCAAGGUGAGUAGUAUCCAUUGCCCUCCAUAUGUUCUGACCCCUGCAAUUUCCCCAAAUGUGGGAAACUCAGCUGCGUAAUUUGUGACAGUGGGGACCGCAAGCUCUCCCUU
ensembl:snRNA U1 U1 spliceosomal RNA